UUAAUUUGAGGGGGAAAAUUAAUAAUUUAAAUUUAAUAAAAGAAAUUUUAAUAUUAAAAAGAAAAAUGGGGGUUUGAGUAUUUUUAAUAGAAAAAAUUAAAAGUUUUAUAGUUAAAUAUUACUGUAAAGGAAUUUAUAAAUAAAUGAAAUAUAAUUAAUGAAAAAGUAAAUUUAAAUUAUUGUAUCUUGUGUAUCAGAGUUUAUUAAAUAAUAAUAAUUUAUUUAAAUAAAUCUCGAAUUUAAAAGAGUUAAUUAAUUAAAAAAGUUAAUGUUGUAUAAUUAUUUUAAAUAAUUAAUUAGAAAUGAAAUGUUAAUCGUUUUUAAAUAUAUCUAGUUUUUUCAGAAAAAAAUUUAAUUUUAAAUUUAAAUAAUUUUAUAAUUAUUUAAUUAAUUAUAAAAAUUUAAAUUUUAAUAUUUUAGGGGAUAAGCUUUAAAUUAAAAAUUUAUAAUUAAAAAUAAUUAAAAUUAAAAUUUUUAAAAUUUAUAUUGUUUAAAAAUUAUAGUUUAUUAUAAAAAAUUUUAUUAAAAAUAAAAUUUAAAAUAAAAAAAUUUAAAUUUUUAUGAAAAAAUAAUUUAUAAUUUAAUAAAAUUAGAAAUAAUGAUAAAAUUAGUAUAAUAUAAUAAAUUAAAAAAAAAAUUAUAAAUAAUUAAGUUAAAGGAAUUCGGCAAAAAUUUAUAUUCACUUGUUUAUCAAAAACAUGUCUUUUUGAUAAUAAUUUAAAGUCUAAUCUGCCCACUGAUAUUAUAUUAAAGGGCUGCAGUAUAUUGACUGUACAAAGGUAGCAUAAUCAUUAGUCUUUUAAUUGAAGACUUGUAUGAAAGAUUUGAUGAAAUAUAAACUGUCUCUAAUUUAUGAUUAGAAAUUAAUUUUUUAGUUAAAAAGCUAAAAUAAAAUUAAAAGACGAGAAGACCCUAUAGAGUUUUAUAUUUUAUUUAAUUAAUAUUAAAUAUAUAAUUAAAUAUAUUAAUUAAAUAAAAUAUUGUGUUGGGGUGAUAGAAAAAUUUAAUAAACUUUUUUUAAAAUUAAACAUAAAUAAGUGGUUAAUUGAUCCAUUAAUAAUGAUUAAAAGAAAAAAUUACCUUAGGGAUAACAGCGUAAUAUUUUUUUUUAGUACGUAUAAAAAAAAAAGUUUGCGACCUCGAUGUUGGAUUAAGAUAAAAUUUAAAUGCAAAAGUUUAAAAUUUUGAUCUGUUCGAUCAUUAAAAUCUUACAUGAUCUGAGUUCAAACCGGUGUAAGCCAGGUUGGUUUCUAUCUUUAAUAAAAAAAAAUAUUUUAGUACGAAAGGAUCAAAUAUUUAAAAUAAUUUUAUAAUAAUGAAUAUUAAUA
rnacentral:rRNA from 1 species